rnacentral:rRNA from 1 species
UACGUAGGGAGCAAGCGUUGUCCGGAAUCAUUGGGCGUAAAGCGCGCGUAGGUGGCCUCAUAAGUCCGCUGUGAAAGUCAAAGGCUCAACCUUUGAAAGCCGGUGGAUACUGUGGGGCUAGAGUACGGAAGAGGCGAGUGGAAUUCCUGGUGUAGCGGUGGAAUGCGCAGAUAUCAGGAGGAACACCAGUAGCGAAGGCAGCUCGCUGGGACGUUACUGACACUGAGGCGCGAAAGCGUGGGGAGCGAACAGG